GACGAACGCUGGCGGCGUGCCUAAUACAUGCAAGUAGAACGCACAGUUUAUACCGUAGCUUGCUACACCAUAGACUGUGAGUUGCGAACGGGUGAGUAACGCGUAGGUAACCUGCCUGGUAGCGGGGGAUAACUAUUGGAAACGAUAGCUAAUACCGCAUAAUAUUGAUUAUUGCAUGAUAAUUAAUUGAAAGGUGCAAUUGCACCACUACCAGAUGGACCUGCGUUGUAUUAGCUAGUAGGUGAGGUAACGGCUCACCUAGGCGACGAUACAUAGCCGACCUGAGAGGGUGGUCAGCCACACUGAGACUGAGACACGGCCCAGACUCCUACGGGAGGCAGCAGUAGGGAAUCUUCGGCAAUGGACGAAAGUCUGACCGAGCAACGCCGCGGGAGUGAAGAAGGUUGUCGGAUCGUAAAGCUCUGUUGUAAGAGAAGAACGGGUGUGAGAGUGGAAAGUUCACACUGUGACGGUAUCUUACCAGAAAGGGACGGCUAACUACGUG
rnacentral:rRNA from 1 species